UCUGUUUUCUUUAGCACUCCAGUGACAAUAACUGAAAUAUGGCUAGCCUUCUGUGGCAACACACAGAAGCAAACGCAGGUUUCUCCUUGCUCCUGGAUUCACAAGCAGGGAGAAGUCAUUCUGAAGUCUCAGUUCUUACGUCACAGAGCUGUGGCCUGAGGCCUCCUGUGAGAAGUAUCAUGAGGCCCCCAGCUCAGGCACAGAAGACAUCUUGGGAACAUCUAUAGACUGAUUUUUAUGAAGAGUCUGUUUUAUUUCAUAACCACGUUAUGUAUUAUGGCCCUCUCGUGGUCAAUAUUGAUUUCUUUUAAUAUGAUAAAGUCGUUUGCACUGUAGGGUGUCAGUCCCUGUCCAGUUGUGCACAGAUGCCUUGUGUGAGGCCACACACAGUUGUGUGCAAAGUGAGCCCUCACGCUUGAAUCCCGAUGCUCCUCUGGAGCUAUCUCAGGACUCUGCCAUCCAAACAUGUAUUAUGGUGCAGCUUAGCCACAUCCCUGAAUGAAGGAUGGGGAGUGAACCAUGUUUCCUUUCUGUGUAAGCCUUAAUUCCAAAGGUGGUUAUGUCUGAAAACCAAUUUCCUAUGAAAUACAGAGGUUCAGCUCUGUAGGAGAGAAGUGUAGCUAGUGAUUUACGAAGCCCGAGAGGUGCUUCCAUGUGGUGGUGAGAGCAGUAGAGGUCCUCGUGACAGAAUACAAACUGGCCACCCCCAGCUCUGAGGGAACAUGGCUGGCACAAACCCGUGCUAUCCCCAUGGUAACAGGCCAGGCUGCCAUCAUAGGGUCCAUAGUCCAGCACAGGGACAUGAAGAGGCAAGGUGAGGACAGAGUUUGGUCUAGCUCUUCUGAUUAGUUUUUAAUGUCACACAAAAGAACUUAAAGAUGAACUUGCCUUACUUCGUCCUUGGUCCUGUGUUUCCUGGAAGUAUUCAAAUAUGGGCAGCCAUCCUGCAGAGAUGGAUACUAACCAGCAGUGGACAAGGGAAGUUACAGUGUGAUGUCAGACAUGAUGCUGCUACUCGGCACCUCCUUCCAGAGAGCGAGCUUUGAGGAUGAGGCUGGAGCUUCUGUUACACAGAUGGAGCAUAAGGAAGAGAUGGCACUUGAGGACAAGUCUGCAGGUCUGUGGGUCGCCUGACCCACACCCUUUCCACAUCCACACAGGUCUCACCUCUUGGCAGAUGGCAUGCUGGGAGUUCUUGGACUUCUUAAUUUAUGACAGUUUUUUUUAUGUUAUUUAUGUGUAUAAUUAACUACUUUGUAUGCAGUACCCUUAUGAAAUGAACUUGGCCUAGGGGUGAACUGUUUUCUAAAACAUAGCCUUUGUUCUCCAAAUAAAACUAUUCCAGGAAACCAUGGAAAAAAUGGGCAGGCAAUCCAUAGCCCUAAUCUAUUUUUUAAAAAUUCAACCGCAGUUCCUCUUUGCCUUUAUAGCCUCUCAAAGAUGAAUGAGCUGAGCCCAAAUGAGCACUGGGCUCAAUCAAACAUCACUAGCAUUUGACUUUUAUUCUCUUCUCACUAAAAUAAAGACCUUUGAAAUCACAUUUUUUAUUUUUUAAAGAUGUAUUUUUGUGCCUAUACCCAGGUUGUUAAAUCCUGUUGAAAGACGGAGCUUAGGUUGUACAGUCUCUCCUGCUGCCACUGUUUGCUUAAAUAUACAGAGGCAUCUACUUCCUGCUGUUAUAAGCAGGAAUUCAGAUAAAACCAGCCUUUCUCCCCAAGUGUCUGUGACACAUGGUCUCCCCAGUCAUUGGCUGAAGCAAGCAGGUUGUCUCACCAUAGUUACAGCUCCCCUGCAGAUAGCAACUGGAUAGCAAAACAAAGGCACCUCUACACUCCAGGUACCCCACAUACAUAAACCAUUGUUGAUCCGUAGGAAAUGUUCAGGUUGUUUUGUUUUUUUUUUUAAACUGGUCUAAAUCGGUCAUAGCUAUGUGUCCAACAAGCCCUGUGACUAUGUCUAGGUUCGCAUAAAUAAAUGUAUCAGACUUUGUUU
rnacentral:lncRNA from 1 species